rnacentral:tRNA from 2 species
UGAAGAAAUGGAAAAAUAUGGUGCAUCCGGGAGGAUUCGAACCUCCGACCGCUCGGUUCGUAGCCGAGUACUCUAUCCA